GGGGGUGUAACUCAGUGGUAGAGCGUCCCGGGUUCAAUCCCCGGUAUCUCCA
rnacentral:tRNA from 1 species